AACCACUUUUCAUCUCUGCUCCACCUGCCUUGUACCAUCUUUGAUGUCCUGAUUUCAUUCAGAUUUCUCUGCAGAUUUCCUGCACCUGACCUGCCCCACGAAGCUUUUACUUAAAUCAUUAUAGAGUGGCCUGGACUUGUGAAAAACAGUAUUUCCUUUCAUGGAGUUAAAAACAGACCUUUCUGACCCAACCCACAUGUUUCAAGAGUUGUAUUCACAGCUAAACCUUCUUUCUGAUGGAAUUCCAAGUAAACAGGUGCAGAUGGUCCUUUCCAGACUUAAAGAUUUGGGUCCUGAGCACCUGGAGAAAUUACUUGCCUUCUUGUUUCUGAAAAUCGAAGAAAAUGAGGAAAAUGAAGUUAUCUUCUGUUGGCUUAUUGAGGUCCUGGAAGACUUGGUGAAGUCUGACCUUCCUUCAAUGAUUCCCAGCGUGAUGAUAGACUUGCAGCAUGCUUUAUGGCCGUGCCUUCCCAACCCCAGCUAUAAAGUUAAAGAAGCCAUGGCCAAACUCAUCCUUAGUCUGGGGGAAGGUGGUUACCUGUGUACAGACAGUGCAAUAGUCUUAAUCCGCUUCCUCAUAGAUGAAUGUGUGAAGCCACUAGAUGACUCAACUUCAGAUGUGACUAAGAUUAAUGAUGAAAAGAAAAAACUGAAAAAUUUAUGUCUGGAAAUUUUAACUGACUGUGUCCAUAACCCCUGCAUGGCCAAGCUCAUGUGGCCAAUGCUCCUGGAAUACAUAGCCCCAGAUCAAUAUGCCAGCAUGUCUCUCAUCCUUAGCUUUGUGCUCUACCUGGCUGAGAAGCUUCAACAUGAAGAGCAGGAUGCCCUGGACAUCAACUAUUCUGAAUGUGUACUUGGAACAAUUAUCAUGCCUACAGGAAACAGAAGAACUCCAACACCUCAAUUCCUUCUUUUGCAGCUCAUGGUACUUUCUUACUCUAAUAAUGUGAGCAAAAAUAUUCGGAGAAGUGCCCUUCAAAUCCUUUCAAUUCUCCAUCACCAAAUCAACAAACACCUGGGGAAGGGAUGGGUUCUGAAAAUUGAGACCCUGCUCAACUACCUGGAAGGUGAUGGGAUAUCCUGCUGUCAGAAAUUCUGGGAGGAGAAGAUACUGUUGUUUCUUGAUUAUACACUCCAGUGUAUAACAAAACAGAAAUGGAUCUUCCACUUUUUAGAGGAUGUCAUCUCUCAAUUGCGCCUUGGGCAAGGAUCUUCCAGUGAGAAGAGUUUUCUCUACCAGUCCUGGGGAAUUGCUCAGAAGUUAGUAGACUAUAAAAGCAGUGAGGACCAUCUAUGGACUUGCCUUGAAUCCAUAAAUUGUAAAGAAAAAGAAGAAUGUGAGGGAUUUGCUCAUGGAGUAGGGAUCUGGGCUUCUGGCCACCUCCAUGAGGCACUGGAUAAUUUGGAAAGGAUGGGAAUGCUUAUUGAAAAGUUGCAUUAUGGAAAGAUGCUGUACUACCUGGAGGUACCUACAUGCAAGGAAAUGACUUGGCUCCUAUUUCUCAGUUAUCAAAAGGUGCUUCUACUCGUCCCCAAAGAGCAACUGCUUCCGAUUGUGGAGAUUGAAAUUGUAGAAAAAAUAGUGAACUGCUUCAACACCAGCUGCCCUGAUGUACAGAUCAGAAGAGAAUUUAUUCAGUCCCUCCUGAUAGCUGGAGAAAUAAUGGCCCAGGGAAAGAGAUUUUUUUUCAAAACUCAUCUGAGGAGGGCAGCAACAAAUCAUUUGCUGCAAAUUCUGGCAGCAGAAUCCAAGGAGGACCCAGACACCUCAUUCUGUUCAGACAUCAUGACUGCUCUAUCUUACUUGGGGGAACUAUAUCCACCAUUGAAUGAGGAAGAGAUAGACUUGAUCCUUAGUAGCUGCCUCAAAUGUGUGUUCUCGAUGCCAUCUACAAAUGAUUCAUUGAAAGGGAAAUCACCAGUAAAGACACCCAUGAAAUCCCUGAGCCAAAAAACAAUCGAAGCCUUGGAUAAUGUCAUCAUGACCAUUCUGGAGAGUCAACCAACACCAGAAAUUACACUCAGGAUAUUCAAACACCUUUCCAAGUGGUUGGGAUCAGAGAAGCCAGUGCUGCGCAUGGGAGCAAUGAGAUUAAGCCAGCUGCUCUUCUCUUUCUAUUAUACAUCUGAGGAAGUUCGAAUUCUCCCAUGUCUUGGAUUUUUUGCUGGUGCCCUGGUUCCCCGAUGCUUUGACCAACUACCAUCCAUUCGCCACUGGGCUUCUAAUACAAUCACCUCUGUGCUUCAAGGAACUCAGAAUAAUUUGAUUUCAGGAGUCACAGAAAAGGAAGGCAACAAGCCAUUGACCGAUGAUAUAGAAGUUGAGGCUUCUAACCUCAUGCCCGUUGACAUUGCAAAGCUCAUUUUUAACUAUCUGCCACUCCGGGAACUGCUUACCUUUCUGUAUACUGCUUCAGACUGUAUAGUGGACAGAGUCACUUGCCCUCAGUCUAUUGUGUCUGUAUUGAGGAUGGUGGUGGAAUUCAAUGGGGCCAGAGUCAAAGAUGAGAUCCCAGGUCUCCUUACCAUCUUGGUGGAAAUGUUGCAUUCCUUAAAAGAUGAAUUAGUACGAAAGGAACUUAUAGCUACAAUCCAGCAGCUGACCAAGCUGGCUCCAAAAAUUGUGGUACCCUGCCUCCUGAAAAAUCCACUUCCAUAUGACAAGGAUAUCAGAGAGCUGUGGAGAUUAUUUGGUAAUGAUGCUUGCCUUGCCAUCUUGGUGCUACCUGUUCUCCUCCGUUGCAACAUGGGCCAGAAAAAAGAGACAAAGUUACGGCUUAAAUCUCAGGACCCAAUCCUUCCAUUUGCCAAAGAAACACAGGCCUUAUGGGAAGUCACUGCUGCACUAGAGUUUAAGGAAACUCUAGAGGGCUUAGAGGAUAAACUUUUCAUCACCUAUUUCCUCUCCCUUCCACAGCUAAGCAGAGUGCAAGCUUCUGAGUCUGAAACCCAGAGCCCCAAUGAGAUAGCCUCAUAUAGCUCCAUGGAGGCUGGAUUUAAGAACUUUUUGGAACUUCAGGGAUUCCACAGUGCUGUGGUUCAAAUGGAAAAUACAGAAGUUUGGAAGUUCCUUCGGAAUGCCCAGUUGGUACAUAUUGGAGUGAUUCAUUUGUGCAGAUCUUUGGUCCAAUUCCCUGAGAUCUUAAAUCACAAUGUGCUACACAGUCUCUUGCCUUUUCUUAAGUCAGUUGAACAUGAAUACAGAAUGGUCUGCACUGCCCUGUUUUCAGAGCUUUUAGGUUGCCAGGAGAUGGGAGAGCUGGAGAAAAACUCAAUGAACGCUGCACUGAAGUUAGAAAUAGAAAGAACCAAAGAUAUCAAUCCUAUUAUUGAAUUCUUGGCAGUAAGAGCAUUAGGAAAUGCCCUUAUUGGGUUACCCAAGGAAACACCAAAACGUAAGAAGAUAAUUUUUAAGGUACUAACAGAAGCUCUGUGUCAGGCCUGUGACCCAAAAGUUAUUGAGGAAACCCUGAUUGUACUUGGAAAAUUUAUCCCCUUCCUGAAGACUUUGAAAGGGCAUACUGUUCUACGGUUAGUUCUCCAGAUCAGAGCAUUAUUGAGAGAUGAGAUAACCACCAUACGCCUGGCCGCUGUAACUCUUUAUGGUCACCUGCUCUCUUUUGUCAAUAAAAAACCUGUGUUUGUGGAUCAAGUAGAGAAAAGUUUGGGUUCACUCCUAAUCCUUCUUAAAGACAACGACCCCCAAGUUGUCAAAAGUUCCAGAAUUGUGCUUCGGGAUUGCUCUUCAUUUCUCCGGUCAGAGCCACUUAGGGCACUCCUAGAGAAUCUUCAACCUGAAGAAGAAAUCAACUUCCCUCAAUUUUAUGGUAAAGUCUACAGUCUCCUGAUGAAUGAGUGCUCAGAAAAUGAAGAUGAAACAUUGGUGUCAAAAGCAGCAUCAGCCGCUGAGAUACGCUGCUUUAUGGAGCAACAGAAAAUGAAAAUCAGCACAACUGGGAGCACUAAAGAGUUCUUGCACCUCUAAGUUCUUGUAUCCAGGAGGCUAAAUUCCUGAUGCUCAAGCACUUACAGAAAAACUUCAUCAAAUCCCACUUACCUAUAAUUGAUGCUAUUUUGAUCAAGGCUAUAGCCCAAUCCUGGAUACAAGAAUCCUGUGAUGAAGACAUACCCCUGACCACUUCAUAAUCAAGAAGCUCCUAUCCAGAUUCAGAAGAAGUUUUUUCAGCCCCUUCAGAAGAAAAUGGCUUAGGAGACCAUUAGCAAUUUUUAGAGAUUCUAGGAAUUCAUGAUGACUGACACAUUUUCCAAAACAAUGAAGAAAAUUCGGGUUGAGGGCCAGGGUCAGAUUAGGGAUUGCAUAAAUUCAGUUAUCCAAGAGAAAAUAAUUAUUUGUUAUUUUGAUGUUGCUUAUAUGAAUUUAAAUUAUAU